GUUUUUUUGUUGUUGUUAGUGAUUUCCUGCAUUUUUGCUAAAAGAAGCCACCCAGGAUGUCUUCUAUUAAGUACAUCAGGACUUCGUAGGAUAUAUAUGGUCUGUAAUUAUAAUAUUACACAGACACACCAAGAAAAGGAGCCACAGAAGACAAAAAGAGAAGAAACAGUAGAAGGCCUAAAUAAGCUGAGACUGAAAUAGCCUCUCGGCGUUGCUUAAACAUCUAUCAAGACGGCAACAUAUGAUUCACAGUAUUGCCAAGAAUUUCUCCCACUUAAAACAAAGCCCCUAACAGCUGCCCAGGAAAGACACUGACAGCAAGGCGAGCCAAAACUAGCCUCACUACAUCUCGUGUGUGUGUGUGUGUGUGUGUGUGUGAGAGAGAGAGAGAACUAAACGCAAGGUCACAGACAGAAAUGGGUCAGAGCAAAAAAAGAAACAAAAAACGAGUGGCAGCAGAAAACAACUGUACUGACAAGAUGAAUGACGGAGAGGUCAGACAAACGGCGCAUCCUUCACUGGUUUACACCUAAAAUGACAGCAUUGCAAAAGGUGACAAACAUCACAACAAACCUAUGUGGUGAGAUCAGGAAGUUCCACAAACCCAGAAAAUUUAAAUUGUGAUUUGAAUUCAGAUGAUUUCUCCUUAAGUGUAGCCUUCUUGGUCAGUGCGGCGACACUUUAACCAGUGCUGCAACUCUUUGAUUGCGCCACGUAAGUCCUAUUGUGUGUUUGCGGCAUUCCUCCAGUGUGUCAAAAUGGCAAUCCUGGUUAAGCUGGGCAUACACUGUGCGAUUUUUGCAGUCGAGUUAUUCAGCUCCAGCUCAAACUGUACAAUUGGAUCGCAGGGGUGAGAAGUUCGUAGGUCACGAUGCAGGGUCUCACACUAUACGGCCUGAUGCUCUGAUGCGACCUGAGUGCUCACACUGUGCGUGUGUUAAAUUGCUAAUGAAAAACAUGACCAGGCGGCUGCAAUUGAGCAGCAGUGUCCAUCCAACUCUUUUCACGGUUGUUGCGCUCGUGAUAAUUUUGUGAGGCCACAUGAAAAAGGCUUGGAUGAGCUCGCCAAAGUUCUACAAGUUGUGCCUCCAUCGCUUGUGUCCAGAUCACAUGCUGCACUGCCGUGCUACUCCGUCUUUCUACUUCCAUUUCUGUUUGCGCGUGCGGAGCGUGAGAAGCUGCGUUGACACCCUCACGAGGGCCGACAGGAUUUCAAACAGGUUUUAUUUUCUUGCGACCAUACGAUUGAUGAUCAGGAGCUGGUUGUGAGGUGUGAAUCGCUUCUCGUUACCCCAUGUAUACUACACGAUGCACGAGUCACGAUUAAGGCAAAACUCGGGCUGAUCCCCAAAAUGGUCGCACGACUGAAAAAUCGGCUCAAAAUGGGCCAAAAAUCGCACAGUGUAUGCCCAGCUUUAGGGGAAGAAGACAAAGUCACUGGCAGCUAAAUCUGGUGGAACAUAUUAAGCAAAGAUUAUGUGGCGAGGCUAAAAAUCUUUUUUAAAUUUAAUUACAUUUUUUUUUUAAAUGUGUUGCCAGGGUAAUUUACACCAAACAAUCUCCCUCAGACACUUCAGGACGUCACAGCAGAACUGUGUUUCUUGCGACCAUACGACCAUACGAUAUGGUGCACAACCCUGUAAUUGUCCAGAAAAAUUACAAGCAUGCGCCCAGUCAUGCUCCUCACCUGAAUACCAACUACAGCACUGAAUACUGCUGUUUAGUUUCUGGGUCAUCAACAUUUCCUGCUCCCGCUUCAUCCUUCACACCAAAAAUGGGUCAUUUUGAUGCUUUUCCCCCAAAUUGAGUCCACAGAAAGGAACAAUAGAAGGUCCUUCCUCUCUCAAAUCACAAUCUUUUUAGGCAGCCCUGCCUGAAUAAAUAUUUCAUGUUUCCUUAUAAUAACCAAGAGGAGCGGCUGAAAAUA